rnacentral:rRNA from 1 species
AAAACCGUGUGCCUACAACAAGUUCGAGCCCGUUAAUGGGUGAGAGCGUGCCUUUUGUAGAAUGAACCGGCGAGUUACGUUAUGAUGCGAGGUUAAGUUGAAGAGACGGAGCCGUAGGGAAACCGAGUCUGAAUAGGGCGCCUUAGUAUCAUGACGUAGACCCGAAACCAUGUGACCUACCCAUGAGCAGGUUGAAGGUGCGGUAAGACGCACUGGAGGACCGAACCAGGGCACGUUGAAAAGUGCUUGGAUGACUUGUGGGUAGCGGAGAAUUCCAAACGAACUUGGAGAUAGCUGGUUCUCUCCGAAAUAGCUUUAGGGCUAGCGUCGACAUUAGAGAUUCUUGGAGGUAGAGCACUGUUUGGGUGAGGGGUCCAUCCCGGAUUACCAAUCUCAGAUAAUCUCCGAAUGCCAAUGAAUUAUGGUCGGCAGUCAGACUGCGAGUGCUAAGAUCCGUAGUCGAAAGGGAACAGCCCAGACCACCAGCUAAGGUCCCAAAAUAAUUGUUAAGUGGAAAAGGAUGUGGGGUUGCACAGACAACUAGGAUGUUAGCUUAGAAGCAGCUAUUCAUUCAAAAGAGUGCGUAAUAGCUCACUAGUCGAGUGACCCUGCGCCGAAAAUGUACCGGGGCUAAAACAAUUUACCGAAGCUGUGGAUACCUUUAUAGGUAUGGUAGGAGAGCGUUCUAUGUGUGAUGAAGGUAUACCGUGAGGAGUGCUGGAACGCAUAGAAGUGAGAAUGCCGGUAUGAGUAGCGAAAGACAGGUGAGAAUCCUGUCCACCGUAAGACUAAGGUUUCCAGGGGAAGGCUCGUCCGCCCUGGGUUAGUCGGGACCUAAGGAGAGACCGAAAGGUGUAUCCGAUGGACAACAGGUUGAUAUUCCUGUACUAGAGUAUGUAGUGAUGGAGGGACGCAGUAGGCUAACUAAAGCAGACGAUUGGAAGAGUCUGUCUAAGCAGUGAGGUGUGAAUUGAGUCAAAUGCUUAAUUCUAUAACAUUGAGCUGUGAUGGGGAGCGAAGUUUAGUAGCGAAGUUAGUGACGUCACACUGCCAAGAAAAGCUUCUAGCGUUUAAACAUACUCUACCCGUACCGCAAACCGACACAGGUAGUCGAGGCGAGUAGCCUCAGGUGAGCGAGAGAACUCUCGUUAAGGAACUCGGCAAAAUGACCCCGUAACUUCGGGAGAAGGGGUGCUGACUUUAAGUCAGCCGCAGUGAAUAGGCCCAAGCAACUGUUUAUCAAAAACACAGCUCUCUGCUAAAUCGUAAGAUGAUGUAUAGGGGGUGACGCCUGCCCGGUGCUGGAAGGUUAAGAGGAGUGCUUAGCGUAAGCGAAGGUAUGAAUUGAAGCCCCAGUAAACGGCGGCCGUAACUAUAACGGUCCUAAGGUAGCGAAAUUCCUUGUCGGGUAAGUUCCGACCCGCACGAAAGGCGUAAUGAUUUGGGCACUGUCUCAACGAGAGACUCGGUGAAAUUUUAGUACCUGUGAAGAUGCAGGUUACCCGCGACAGGACGGAAAGACCCCAUGGAGCUUUACUGCAGUUUGAUAUUGAGUGUCUGUACCACAUGUACAGGAUAGGUAGGAGUCUAAGAGAUCGGGACGCCAGUUUCGAAGGAGACGCUGUUGGGAUACUACCCUUGUGUUAUGGCCACUCUAACCCAGAUAGGUGAUCCCUAUCGGAGACAGUGUCUGACGGGCAGUUUGACUGGGGCGGUCGCCUCCUAAAAGGUAACGGAGGCGCCCAAAGGUUCCCUCAGAAUGGUUGGAAAUCAUUCGCAGAGUGUAAAGGUAUAAGGGAGCUUGACUGCGAGAGCUACAACUCGAGCAGGGACGAAAGUCGGGCUUAGUGAUCCGGUGGUUCCGUAUGGAAGGGCCAUCGCUCAACGGAUAAAAGCUACCCUGGGGAUAACAGGCUUAUCUCCCCCAAGAGUUCACAUCGACGGGGAGGUUUGGCACCUCGAUGUCGGCUCGUCGCAUCCUGGGGCUGUAGUCGGUCCCAAGGGUUGGGCUGUUCGCCCAUUAAAGCGGCACGCGAGCUGGGUUCAGAACGUCGUGAGACAGUUCGGUCCCUAUCCGUCGCGGGCGUAGGAAAUUUGAGAGGAUCUGCUCCUAGUACGAGAGGACCAGAGUGGACUUACCGCUGGUGUACCAGUUGUCUUGCCAAAGGCAUCGCUGGGUAGCUAUGUAGGGAAGGGAUAAACGCUGAAAGCAUCUAAGUGUGAAACCCACCUCAAGAUGAGAUUUCCCAUGAUUAUAUAUCAGUAAGAGCCCUGAGAGAUGAUCAGGUAGAUAGGUUAGAAGUGGAAGUGUGGCGACACAUGUAGCGGACUAAUACUAAUAGCUCGAGGACUUAUCCA